CCGACGGGCGACCGCCCGCUCGGAUACUGACUCCGGUACCUGAUACGGCCGGGGCAG
rfam:Streptomyces mobaraensis NBRC 13819 = DSM 40847 contig051, whole genome shotgun sequence.